ACAUAUUAUUAUGACUCUUAUUACAAUACGGACUGCAGUUCAUUUUAAAUGAGCCGGUGGCGUUUAUCCGCUCGUCUGGGUUGCUUCUAACGACAUUUAAAUAUGCAUACACCAUGCACCUAAACAACAGUAUAUCAUUAUAACUAGUCUAAUAAAGUAGGUACUCCGUCGAAUAAUUAUUAUUAUCAUAAACAAACGCACAGUUAAAUAACAAUCGACGUCGUACGCUCGCACGACGUAUCGUAAGUCAUCGUGGAUCCGUUGGCCACAGCAUGCCGUCGUGUGUUACUGCAUAAUAUAUUAUUAAAACGCGAUGAUGGAAACGUUUCAUAAAAACCCGUUCAACACGUGACACGGUGCAGUCGUUGGAUUACAAUCGGAUUACCUCGAGACGUCUGGAGUUCCGGGUUUUCGGUAGGAAGAUUCCGAGCGGUUGACAAUGUUGACAUGUGCUGUAUCAUUGAGUUUAAAUUUAAUACAUCAAUUACAGUGACCAACUCAACGCAGAGCGACUUCUCCAGGUUUUUUUUUCGUUGUUUUUAUAUUGACACUAAUACCUCUAUAUUUUAUAAAAUUUGUAGUUUACAGCCUUACAGGUUAUUUGUUCGAUUUAAAAUUUCAAGGGGCACCUAAGAAACAGUAAUUUCAACAUUGUAUGCAAUCAGCUAAGUAUUUUAUAUUAAAAUAUUAUAUUCGAAAAAAACCAACCUAUAUCCUGUUAAAGUGAAAAAUGAUUAACUUAUUUUAUUUUACCUGCUUUAUAUAAUGUUAGUUGUUAUAUCUAAUUAGACAUAUCAUACAAUUUUUUGUUCAUCGAAUAGGUAUCGAUAAUUAAUCGCGUUAAUAAGUCAAACAUGUUUGAUAAAAAGUACGUUGCGGUUGUACGAUCGAACCAUGGCGAGGACGCCGUUGCGAGUCACAAUGAUAAUAACGCAAUUAUGCACCUACGUUGAAACCCUAACUUGAAGACAGUCGCGUAUUGUAUUCAAUAGGGCAGGUUAUGUACUUUAAUAUGGCGUACUCUGUAUUAUAUAAUACCAUCCGUUAAUAAUUCUGAUACCCAAGUUCGAAAUAGACUUAAGUACGUCGUUAUAAAUAUUAUAAGUUAUAACAAUAAUGUUAUAGGUACCUGAACUUGGAGAAACUUACAGCUGAAGUGCGGUAAACACACUUCGUUAAUGACAUGUCAUACUGAAUAGUGAAUAACGUCAUCGUUAUUAUACACACAUUCUAUUAUUGUACCAACAUAUUGUAGCAUUGUUGAAACGUGAUGUCUUUAUUGAUUUUUAAGAGGACGCCACCCUUUUUUAAGUGGCUAAUAUAGACAAUUUUA